UUGAAUAGCAGGAUUAAAGUAGUAUCGAUUGAACUACUAAUUGGUUGCAUAAAUCGCAUGAUUUUCAUAUUGCAUGGUUGUGAGGCAUGACAUGUAUUUCAAUUAUCGCAUAUAUAUAUCUGUUGGAUAUUUGUUGGACUAACAUGUUGUAGUGCCUCCUUGGACCUGUGGGUCGAGCUCUUCCCUUGGGUGGCCGUACCCACUGGGAACUAUAUUUAUAUAGUUCUCACCCCCGUGUUGUUUUUGGGGGUACAGGUUCCCACGUGAGCGGCGCGGCGGCGCGAGGAGAGGGUGUAGCUCCGUAGAUAGCGCACUACCACCGAGACCAGAGAUAGCGGUACCCUGAGUCGGUCUUUACUCAGAGCAUAAAAAGAAUAUAAAAAGAAUCAAGUUGUAAUAAUUUGUAAUAAAAGCUUGAUUGUAUUUAGAAGUUAAAUGUAAUGUGUAAUUAUGAUGUAAAAUAUAUCUAGUGAAUGUGAAUGCUUGUAAUAGCAAGUAAAUUAUGUUUUUGACACUUUCUUAUGCAAUCUUUGAUUGAAAUGUGUUCCUGGUUGGAACUUUGUACAUUGUAUUGAUUGCGACGCCUUGAAUGUACAGGGGAGACUCUGUCCGCGGUACCGAAAAAACCCUGUCCGUUCGGCGGUCUGUCGGCGUGCCCGAAACCUGCCAAAUAGACGGGCUCGGGGCGUGACAUCAGAAAAUUAUGAAAAUUGGAGAAUAUGUUAGAAUUAUUUUAUGAGGCUAGAUUUAAAGUUUCAUGUCAUUCUGACACCCGAAAUGUGGAAAAUAAAAUCCGACUGCNAUUUACAGGCAAACUCGAGUUUGAACUGUCAGUCUGAGCCAAAAUGAAUUACUUUCUUUAAAAUUAGAAAGUCAAAGCUGGUGUAAACCAGUGGCUUUCGAGAUGGCUUGACAUUAGAGAUCGUGAAGGGCAGGCGAAAAAUAUCUGUAUCUGAGCUACAAACUAAAGUGAAUAGUGUUGAGGGUGUUAAUUAUAAAAGAAGCAUUUGCUUCUUCUUCUCCUUCAACCGAAUGCACACACACACACAACACACACGCACACAUGGUGGGAGAGAGAAACUCUCCUUUCUCUCUCUAGAUUCCUCCUCCAGCUCUCUAGAUCCAUCUCUCAAAUUCAGAAUUUUAGAGAAGAUGAUGUUGGAGAUGAAGUUGAAGCUCUCUAAUGGUGGAAGCAAGCUUUCCAAUGGUGGAUUUAGCUUGAUGAGCAUGGUGGCCUAAGGUGAGAUCUCAUGAUUAAGCUAGGAUUUCAAUUAAAUUCUUUAUGUAUGAGAUUCUAUUAGCCUCUAAUGUGUCGUUAGCAUGUUUUCUCCAUUUAAAUUGGGUUAAUUGGAGCAUGUGUAGAGGCUAGGUUUGAAAUGGUGAAUUUCUAGGGUUUGAAUUAUAUGCUCUAGAAUUGAAUUUAGAGGAACCCUUAGAUGCUAAAUGGAUGACUAUUGCAUGAAUUAAGAGGUUAUAUGUUGAUUUCUUACAAUAGUGCAUCCUAGGGCUUAAAGUGGGGUUUUGUAAAAUGUAAGGGCUUGAUCUAAUUUAAUCUGAUGUAAACCUAAUUGCUAGGUAUACGAAUGCGUUGGUGAAGUUGGUUCGGCGAUUCGUCGAGCCUACGUGAAGUUAUUGAAGAAACGGACCGUUAAAGCUUCGUUUCCACCUGGAGGGCCGAGGCGACGUCCUAAAAUCAUGAAAACGGAAUCGUGAGCUCAUGACAACUAACCGCGCAUCUUUAAUUUCCGGAUCAUGGAUUGGAGGCUGUUCGGGUGGUGGCGCAAGAGUUCGGGCCGAACCGGGUCACGGGUGCCGCGGGAGGCCGAUUGCAAGUGACUACAAGAAAUCGGAGUGCAAAUUGAGGUGGGUUGUGCUCACCGAAGCGACUAGGCCGCCGUUAUGUCUAAGAGUAAUGG
rnacentral:lncRNA from 1 species